GCACAGUUGAGUAAAGACGCAACAUUAUGUGUGGUGAAUUCACAAGUUUCAGCUUUUAUAAGAUGUAGAAGCAAGUAUAUGAUUACACAAAUCUUUUUGUGAGAAGCCCACGGAGAAACUGUGCAAAAUGGGCCUGCAAGCAACUUUGGACCAACUUUUGUUGACAUAUAUCAUGCUCAGUUUCAUGUGUCUCUUAUAUCAAAUCCGAAUAAAUAUUUCUAUACUUCUU